GUCUGUCCAUCCGGAGACAUCUGAUAAAAUUGGAACGAUACAGAGAAAAUUAACAUGCCUCUUGCGUUUGCAGUGUUAAUUAUAGGGAAGAGGAUUUUUAUGUAUUU